rnacentral:tRNA from 1 species
CGCUAAGAAGCUAAAUAGGAAUACUAGCGUUAGCCUUUUAAGCUAAAGAAUGGUGCUUUCCAACCACCCUUAGUGA